UACAGAGGGUGCGAGCGUUGUUCGGAAUUAUUGGGCGUAAAGCGCGUGUAGGCGGCUUUGCAAGUCGGGUGUGAAAGCCCUCAGCUUAACUGAGGAAGUGCGCCCGAAACUGCAUUGCUUGAGUACCGGAGAGGAAGGCGGAAUUCCCCAAGUAGAGGUGAAAUUCGUAGAUAUGGGGAGGAACACCGGUGGCGAAGGCGGCCAUCUGGACGGAUACUGACGCUGAGACGCGAAAGCGUGGGUAGCAAACAGG
rnacentral:rRNA from 1 species